rnacentral:rRNA from 1 species
UACGUAGGGUGCGAGCGUUGUUCGGAUUUACUGGGCGUAAAGGGCGUGUAGGCGGCCACCGCAAGUCGACUGUGAAAUCUCCGGGCUUAACCCGGAAAGGUCAGCCGAUACUGCGGGGCUAGAGUGCAGAAGGGGCAACUGGAAUUCUCGGUGUAGCGGUGAAAUUCGUAGAUAUUCGCAAGAACACCAGUGGCGAAGGCGGCUCACUGGCCCGGUACUGACGCUGAGGUGCGAAAGCGUGGGGAGCAAACAGG